UUUUAAAUUCCAUCUGUGAAGCACUCAACUCCCUAGAGUUGAGGUAACACAGACAGCCUUUGUUCCUUUGUCUUUAAAAGUGCUUCUAUUUCAGCCUUCCCUGUGUUCUUUGUCGUAUUCCCCACCCACUCCUACACAUAAUAACCCUUAGCGUCUGUGUUGACCUCAUCUGUUCCCCAGCACCAACACAAUAUGAUAUGGUACAGCUACAACCCAAAAUGUGGACCCUUGGGAGACUACUUGAUAGAACCUCGUUUGCUUUGAUAAUACCUCUGUUAAGAUAAUGGGAGACCCUUGGCAGGAGUGCAUGGAUUAUGCAGUAGUCCUCGCAAGACAAGCUGGAGAGAUGAUUCGUGAAGCUCUGAAAACUGAGAUGAACGUCAUGAUUAAAAGUUCUCCCGCCGACUUGGUGACAGUUACUGACCAAAAAGUUGAGAAAAUGCUCAUGCUACAGUUCCCACUUAAAACAGCACAGAAGCCAGUACAUUGAAGGUUAUGUGGCUCAGUUAGUGUCCUAGUGCUACUACGAGAAGCCUUGCCUGGUUACAGUACAGAAGAUGACCAGUACAGGCUAUGUGUCCUUCACUAGUAGGAAUUCUUGCUAGGAUCACCCUUAAAAAUUCCUGGAAGUUUCUUCUAUACUGGGUUUCUCCAUCACCCUCUAAAUGCUCUCCAACUCUAGUUGUCUCUCCCUCUGUCCCUCCAUCUCCCUCCCAACUCCACAUCGCAUAGAAUUCUAAUAUCUAAAAAACAUAAAGAACUCAAGAAACUAUGCAUCAACAAGCCAAAUAAUCCAAUUAAAGAUAAGAUACAAAUCUAAACAGAGAGUUCCAAAUAGUGGAAUCUCAAAUGGCUGAAAAACACUUAAAGAAACAUUUAAUAUCCUUAGCCAUCAGGGAAAUGCAAAUUGAAUCUACUUUCUGAUUUCAUCUUAUAUCUGUCAGAAUGGCUAAGACCAAUAAUACAAGUAACAACCCAUGCUGGUGAGGAUGUGGAACAAGGGGAACACUCUUCCAUUCUUGGUCAGAGUGCAAACUUGUACAGCUACUUUGGAAGUCAAUAUAGAUGUUUCUCAGAAAAUUUGGAAUUGAUUUACUUUAAGACACAGCUAUACCAUUCCUGGGCAUAUACCCAAAGACACUCCAUCUUACCACAAAGACACUUGCUCAACUAUGUUUAUAGCUGCUUUAUUCAUAAUAGUCAGACUCUGGAAACAACCUAGAUUUUCCUCAACCAAAGAAUGGAUAAAGGAAAUAUACACUUAAACAAUGGAGUAUUACUCAGAUGUUAAAAAAUGACAAUGUGAAAUUUUCAGACAAAUAGAUUAGACUACAAACCAACGAACCAACCAACCAACCAUCUAACCAACCAACCAACCAAACAAACAAACAAACAAACAACCAAUCAAAAAUACCAUGAUAUUUAGCAAGGCAACACAGAUCCAGAAAGGCAAGCAUGAUAUAUACUCACUUGUAAGUGGAUAUCAGUUGUUAAGGAUAAUCAUACUUCAAGUCACAAACCCAGAGAGGGUAAGUAACAAGGAGAGAGGACUGUGAUGGGGGUGGGUACAUGGAUCUUCUGGAAAGGGAAAUCAGAGUUUGUAGGUGGACCAGGGGCAGGUAGGAAAAGGAACAGGAUUGACACUAUUUUUCAAGGAAAGGAGAAGUUGCCUAAUCAAGAAAGGACAGUUCAUUUAUCAAAUACAUACAUACAUACAUACAUACAUACAUACAUACAUACAUACG